rnacentral:RNase_P_RNA from 2 species
GGAGUCGGCCAGGCAACCGCCGUUUUCUCACCGGAAGCGGAGGAAAGUCCGGGCUCCACAGGGCGAGGCGCCAGGUAACACCUGGGGGGCGUGAGCCCACGGAAAGUGCAACAGAAAGUAAACCGCCCAAGCGCGCGGACGACGCGCGCCGGCAAGGGUGAAAGGGUGCGGUAAGAGCGCACCGCGUCGGCGGCAACGUCGGCGGCACGGCAAACCCCGCCUGGAGCAAGGCCAAAUAGGGAAGCACGCAGCCUCCGGGCUGCAACGCGUGGCUCGCGCGGGCUUCCGGGUAGGCCGCUCGAGGUGCACGGCGACGUGCAUCCCAGAGGAAUGGUUGCCCACGACAGAACCCGGCUUAUCGGCCGGCUCCCACC